AUUGAACGCUGGCGGCAGGCUUAACACAUGCAAGUCGAACAAGUGGCGGACGGGUGAGUAAUGUUUGGGAAUCUACCUUAUGGAGGGGGAUAACUACGGGAAACGGUAGCUAAUACCGCGUACCAUAGGAUGAGCCCAAGUGGGAUUAGGUAGUUGGUGAGGUAAAGGCUCACCAAGCCGACGAUCCCUAGCUGGUCUGAGAGGAUGACCAGCCACACUGGGACUGAGACACGGUCCAGACUCCUACGGGAGGCAGCAGUGGGGAAUAGUGCGCAAUGGGCGCAAGCUGAUGCAGCCAUGCCGCGUGAAUGAAGAAGGCCUUCGGGUUGUAAAGUUCUUUCGGUAGCGAGGCGUUAACUACAGAAGAAGCACCGGCUAACUCCGUGCCAGCCGCCGCGGUAAUUC
rnacentral:rRNA from 1 species